UCUCCCCUCCUUAAAAUAAUUUCGUCCUCGAAAUUAGGUUAUGUCGUUCGAGAUACCUAUUUCAAAGUAUACAUUCUUCAUGUCAUUCUCAAGCUUACGAUAAUGUCAUAUAUAUUAUUUAUUUCUCAUGAUCUUGUUAUAACAAAAAUUAUUUGAAAUCUCACACUCAUCCCUUCUUAUUGAUUUCUCAACUUUUUGAAGAACUGUAACAUUUUGGACUUGUAUUAAUAU
rnacentral:lncRNA from 1 species